GUAUAUUAUCAGCACAGCUAAUCAAAUUACCCUGUGCAUUAAAACAGAUUAUUAUUAGAUUAUUCCUCACUUAAUUAGUAGAUUUACGGGAUGUUAUUCAUUCUCUUCAUGCAGUUUCAUCCAUCGUUGUGUAAUUAAGGCUUUUAAAAGUGAUUUUGCUGGUGGGGAGUUAUUUAAUAGACUUGGAUAUAUUGCAAAGGAUGCAGAUGGACCUAAGUGAGAAUGAAAAGUUUGAAAUAGACGAGCAGUUUUCAUUUCAGAAUCAUGCUAGGCUAAAUUUCCAAAAAAGAACGAGAACCACCUGAAGACUCCCUGUAAAGAGACAUCAACCUCACAAUGAGUCUCUUCACUGGUUUUGAUUGCUCCUGCUGACUAUAUCCAGCCUCUUACGAAGACUUCAGAUGACCCAACAACUGUGAAGAGAUGACGCCAAUCCUUGAGAGGACUUCAGAUGAAGCUGACUCUGAAUAAUCAUACAAAACUGCUACGUUUUCCUUGCAUUGUAAUCAGCAUGAUCACAUCAC
rnacentral:lncRNA from 1 species